rnacentral:misc_RNA from 1 species
CCAAACUUGGUCAUUUAGAGGAAGUAAAAGUCGUAACAAGGUUUCCGUAGGUGAACCUGCGGAAGGAUCAUUAACAAAUCCGUGUGGGGUGUUAUGGCCCCGACACUCGUUCCGCGUCCGCGUGCAUUUGCGCGGCGCGUCACAUUUAUCUAUCUAUGCUGACUGAUCGCGCAAACACAACAACUUUUAACAAUGGAUCUCUAGACUCCUUCAUUUAGAGGAAGUAAAAGUCGUAACAAGGUUUCCGUAGGUGAACCUGCGGAAGGAUCAUUAACAAAUCCGUGUGGGGUGUUAUGGCCCCGACACUCGUUCCGCGUCCGCGUGCAUUUGCGCGGCGCGUCACAUUUAUCUAUCUAUGCUGACUGAUCGCGCAAACACAACAACUUUUAACAAUGGAUCUCUAGGCUCCUGCAUCGAUGAAGAACGCAGC